rnacentral:rRNA from 1 species
GAGUUUGAUCUUGGCUCAGAUUGAACGCUGGCGGCAGGCCUAACACAUGCAAGUCGAGCGGAUGAGAGGAGCUUGCUCCUUGAUUCAGCGGCGGACGGGUGAGUAAUGCCUAGGAAUCUGCCUGAUAGUGGGGGACGACGUUUCGAAAGGAACGCUAAUACCGCAUACGUCCUACGGGAGAAAGCAGGGGACCUUCGGGCCUUGCGCUAUCAGAUGAGCCUAGGUCGGAUUAGCUAGUAGGUGGGGUAAUGGCUCACCUAGGCGACGAUCCGUAACUGGUCUGAGAGGAUGAUCAGUCACACUGGAACUGAGACACGGUCCAGACUCCUACGGGAGGCAGCAGUGGGGAAUAUUGGACAAUGGGCGAAAGCCUGAUCCAGCCAUGCCGCGUGUGUGAAGAAGGUCUUCGGAUUGUAAAGCACUUUAAGUUGGGAGGAGGGGCUGCAAGUUAAUACCUUGUAGUUUUGACGUUACCAAC